rnacentral:rRNA from 1 species
GACGAACGCUGGCGGCGUGCUUAACACAUGCAAGUCGAACGGACCUUUCGGGGUUAGUGGCGGACGGGUGAGUAACACGUGGGAACGUGCCUUUAGGUUCGGAAUAGCUCCUGGAAACGGGUGGUAAUGCCGAAUGUGCCCUUAGGGGGAAAGAUUUAUCGCCUUUAGAGCGGCCCGCCUCUGCUUAGCUAGUUGGUAAGGUAAUGGCUCACCAAGGCUACGAUCAGUAGCUGGUCUGAGAGGAUGACCCGCCACAUUGGGACUGAGAAACGGCCCAAACUCCUACUGGAGGCAGCAGUGGGGAAUAUUGGACAAUGGGCGCAAGCCUGAUCCAGCCAUGCCGCGUGAGUGAUGAAGGCCUUAGGGUUGUAAAGCUCUUUCGUCCGGGACGAUAAUGACGGUACCGGAAGAAGAAGCCCCGGCUAACUUCGUGCCAGCCGCCGCUGUAA